rnacentral:rRNA from 1 species
UAAUCGGGGUUGCGGACAGUGUCUGGUGGGUAGUUUGACUGGGGCGGUCUCCUCCUAAAGAGUAACGGAGGAGCACGAAGGUUGGCUAAUCCUGGUCGGACAUCAGGAGGUUAGUGCAAUGGCAUAAGCCAGCUUGACUGCGAGCGUGACGGCGCGAGCAGGUGCGAAAGCAGGUCAUAGUGAUCCGGUGGUUCUGAAUGGAAGGGCCAUCGCUCAACGGAUAAAAGGUACUCCGGGGAUAACAGGCUGAUACCGCCCAAGAGUUCAUAUCGACGGCGGUGUUUGGCACCUCGAUGUCGGCUCAUCACAUCCUGGGGCUGAAGUAGGUCCCAAGGGUAUGGCUGUUCGCCAUUUAAAGUGGUACGCGAGCUGGGUUUAGAACGUCGUGAGACAGUUCGGUCCCUAUCUGCCGUGGGCGCUGGAGAACUGAGGGGGGCUGCUCCUAGUACGAGAGGACCGGAGUGGACGCAUCACUGGUGUUCGGGUUGUCAUGCCAAUGGCACUGCCCGGUAGCUAAAUGCGGAAGAGAUAAGUGCUGAAAGCAUCUAAGCACGAAACUUGCCCCGAGAUGAGUUCUCCCUGACUCCUUGAGAGUCCUGAAGGAACGUUGAAG